CCUCUGCAGAGUCACUGGCUGCACUGUCCCUCAGGAUGGAAUGGAGCUGGGUCAUCCUCUUCCUCCUGUCAGUAACUGCAGGUGUCCACUGCGAGGUCCAGCUGCAGCAGUCUGGGGCUGAGGUGGGGAGACCUGGGUCCUCAGUGAAGCUGUCCUGCAAGGCUUCUGGAUACAGCUUCACCAGCUACUAUAUGCACUGGGUGAAGCAGAGUCCUGGACAGGGGCUGGAGUGGAUUGGGUGGAUUUAUCCUGGAAGUGGUAAUACUGGCUAUAACCAGAAGUUCCGGGGCAAGGCCACACUGACUGCAGACACAUCCUCCAGCACAGCCCACAUGGAGCUCCGCAGCCUGACAGCUGAGGACUCUGCGGUCUAUUACUGUGCGAGAGGUGCACAGUGGUGCACCCACAUCCUGAGUGUGUCAGAAACCUGGGGGAGCAGCUGCUGCCCUGAGACUGAGAAGUUUGAUUAUUUGCUCAGAAAUAAUCAGAGUUUCCCUUUUUCUGUCACUUCUGGGUCUUAUAGGGUCUAUUUCAGCUUUUCUAACUGA